GGGGAUUUAGCUCAGUGGUAGAGUGCUUGCCUAGCAAGCGCAAGGCCCUGGGUUCGGUCCCCAGCUCCCCCC
rnacentral:tRNA from 1 species